rnacentral:rRNA from 1 species
UAAGGAAUUUUCCGCAAUGGGCGAAAGCCUGACGGAGCAAUGCCGCGUGAAGGAUGACAAUCUACGGAUUGUAAACUUCUUUUAUUAGAGAGGAUAAUGACAGUAUCUAAAGAAUAAGCAUCGACUAACUCUGUGCCAGCAGUCGCGGUAAUACAGGGGAUGCAAGCGUUAUCCGGAAUGAUUGGGCGUAAAGCGUCUGCAGGUGGUUUAGACAGUCUAUUGUCAAAUCCUAAAGCUUAACUUUUGAAUGGCAAUAGAAACUUCUUAACUAGAGUACGGUAGAGGUAGAGGGAAUUACCGGUGUAACGGUGAAAUGUGCAGAGAUCGGUAAGAACACCAAAGGCGAAAGCACUCUACUGGGCCAAAACUGACACUCAGAGACGAAAGCUAGGGGAGCGAAUAGGAUUAGAUACCCCCGUAGUCC